UCCUCAUGGAGGCAUACGAGGAGGUAAAACAUAUAAUUAAGAAGAAAGGCAACACCGCCACAGUGAUAAAGCAAAGAGAAAAAGCGUGGCAAAGUAUUGCAGACCGCCUGAAUGCAUUAAACACAUGAACGGGCCAAAUGACAUGGCAGCAGGUUAAAAUCAAA